AGCGUAGACGGUGUGGCAAGUCUGAUGUGAAAGGCAUGGGCUCAACCUGUGGACUGCAUUGGAAACUGUCAUACUUGAGUGCCGGAGGGGUAAGGCGGAAUUCCUAGUGUAGCGGUGGAAUGCGUAGAUAUUAGGAGGAACACCAGUGGCGAAGGCGGCUUACUGGACGGUAACUGACGUUGAGGCUCGAAAGCGUGGGAGGCAAACA
rnacentral:rRNA from 1 species